UGUACUGGUAUAUACAUGGCUGUGCCCCU
rnacentral:piRNA from 1 species